rnacentral:ncRNA from 1 species
UAAGAAAAAGCCAAACCCAUUGCGAGGUGGGGACGGAAAGCCACGGGUCUCUUCUAAGGACGGGAAGAUAGCCGGGUUACCUGGA